GACGAACGCUGGCGGCGUGGAUUAGGCGAUGCAAGUCGAACAGUAGGAUACCUUCGGGUAUCUGAGAGUGGCGAACGGGUGAGUAACACGUAGGUGAUCUACCCUCAAGAUUGGGACAACCCAGGGAAACUUGGGCUAAUACCGGAUGAAAGCAGCAGUGAUGUUGUUUGAAAGGUGGCGUAAGCUGCCGUUUGGGGAUGAGCCUGCGCUCUAUUAGUUAGUUGGCGGGGUAAAGGCCCACCAAGGCGAUGAUAGAUAGGCGGCCUUAACGGGUGGUCGCCCACACUGGGAUUGAGAUACGGCCCAGACUCCUACGGGAGGCAGCAGUCGAGAAUAGUCUACAAUGGCCGAAAGGCUGAUAGUGCGACGCCGCGUGAACGAAGAAGCCCUUCGGGGUGUAAAGUUCUUUUAUAUGUGAGCAGUGCUUUCUAUGUGAACAGCAUGGGGAGAGAGAUAUUAGCAUAUGAAUAAGCAACGGCUAACUCCGUG
rnacentral:rRNA from 1 species